rnacentral:misc_RNA from 1 species
GAUGAAGAACGUAGCGAACUGCGAUAAGUAAUGUGAAUUGCAGAAUUCAGUGAAUCAUCGAAUCUUUGAACGCACAUUGCGCCCCUUGGUAUUCCGAGGGGCAUGCCUGUUCGAGCGUCAUAUUAACCACUCCCGCUUGCGGGGUCUUGGGCUUCGCCUCCGGGCGGGCCUUAAAAUCAGUGGCGGUGCCGUCGGGCUCUACGCGUAGUAAAUUUUCUCGCGAUAGGGUCCCGGUGGAUGCUUGCCAACAACCCCCAACUUCUUAAGGUUGACCUCGGAUCAGGUAGGGAUACCCGCUGAACUUAAGCAUAUCAAUAAGCGGAGGA